rnacentral:lncRNA from 1 species
AGAGUUUUCUUAUUUCUGUUCCGUGAAUAUUACAACUGUAUAGAAGCUUCCUGAACCUCUCAUAUACAUCAGUGUAUAUACAGAAAAAUAUCUACUCUAUAUUGGGCCAUUGGGCCAAGAAUAAAUAAUGGACUAAUUACAAGUUGGGCUUGGGCAGAUGUUCCGUGAAUAUUACCACUGUAUAGAAGCUUCCUGAACCUCUCAUAUACAUCGGACUAUAUACAAAAAAAUAUCUACUCUAUAUUGGGCCAUUGGGCCAAGAAUAAAUAAUGGACUAAUUACAAGUUGGGCUUGGGUAGCUGCUUCUAUGUUUGGGCUGCUUGAGUGGCCCAGUAACUCCAACAGAUUUAAAAUUAUCAGGUACAACAUGUUUCUCUCUUUUGUAAGAAUAAUGAUAUGUUUUGUUGGAUACUUAGUUUUUCUCAAUUAUGUUUAAAAACAAAGGAUUCUUGGCAAUGUGGAGGGCUGCCUGAUUAUCACAAUAAACUGGAACAUGAUAGGGAACAACAACCCCAAAAUCAGACAGUAAUCGAAUGAGCCAGGUGAGCUCACCAAGAACCUUGCUGAUGGCUCUAUACUGAGCCUCAGCAGAAGACAGAGAUACCACAGACUGCUUCUUAGCCUUCCAACCAAUAAGGGAGUCACCUAACAUAACACAAAAACCAGAGACAUGCCUUCUAGUAUCUGGACAGGAUGCCCAGUCACUAUCACAGUAAGCAGAUAAACAGAUAUCAGGAGAGUUGCUGAGAAAAAUGCCAAGAUCAGAAGUGCCUCUGAGAUAUCUGAGGGUGUGCAGAGCAGCAUGUAUAUGUGAGUAGUAGGCUUCUGGAGAUAUUGGCUUAAAUGCUGGACAGCAAAGGCUAAGUCAGGUCUAGUAUGAGUGAGAAAAUUGAGUUUCCCUACUAAGCACCUAUAGGAUUCAGGAGAUGGAAGACGAUCCCCUAAAUCUAGUUUAGAAAAUUGAGUUUCCCUACUAAGCACCUAUAGGAUUCAGGAGAGGGAAGACGAUCCCCUAAAUCUAGUUUGAGUUUGACAGAGAGGUCAAGGGGACAAGUCACAGGAGUAACAGCCUCACAGUAAUAAGCUUUGAGCAGAUCAGUGACAAGUUUUUGCUGGUGGAGCAGGAGCCCAGCAGAGUGAUAACUGACCUCAAUACCAAGAAAGUAAUUAAGCACACCCAAGUCCUUGAUCUUGAACUCUUGAUCAAGAAAACUCUUCAAAGCACUAAUUUCCCCCAAAUCAUUACCAGUGAGGAAAAUGUCAUCAACAUAGACAGCCAACAUGACAAUAGAAGAACCAGAUUUCUUAAGGUAAAGAGAAUAGUCAUUGAGGGAAGAAGAAAAACCUUUAGAACAUAAGGCCUGGGAGAGCUUGGCAUACCAUUGCCUAGAAGCUUGCCUUAACCCAUACAACAAUAUGAAAUUCCAAAUUUUAAUGUGGCUCAAAAUUUGAUUGAUGUUAAUUUAAUAUUACCCGACGACACUUGAUACUGCAGAUUCUCUUUUGAACACAGAAUCACAUACUAAGAGUAUUUUGAUUUCCAUAUGUGUCUCAAAGUCAGAGAAGAGGUAGAAAACAUGUGCUGAUUAAAUGGAAUUUGAGUCCAUUAUUUCGUAUCGUUACUUAUUAACCACAGCAAUGAGGGAUUUGAUGGUUGAAAACUUUACAACAGGAGAAAAGAUCUCAGUGAAGUCUACACCUUCAAUUUGGGUAUCACCCCUAACAACCAGUCUAGCCUUAUGUCUUUCCACAGACCCAUCAGCCCUAAAUUUGAUCUUAUACACCCACUUGCAACCAAUAGGUCUUUUACCAGGGGGAAGGGGAACUAUUGACCAGGUAUGAUUGGCCUCCAAGGCUGCAAAUUCCUUGCACAUAGCCUCCUGCCAGGCAGGAAUAGAGGCAGCUUGCUGAUAGGUGGUAGGUUCUGCUUCUGGACUGCUAACCAAGGUGUGAAGACAGGUGGAAGAAGCACUGGGACCAGAAAGAGAAGGAGGGAGAGUGCAGACAUACUGCUGCAGGUGGGCAGGAAGGACAUGUGCCCUAUUGGAUCUUCUGGGAUCAGAUGAAGAAGGCACUGAAGAAGUAUGUGAUGGAGAGGAAUGUGAGGAAGAGGGAGAGGCAGGUGGGCAGGAAGGACAUGUGCCCUAGUGGAUCUUCUGGGUGCAGAUGAAGAAGGCACUGAAGAAGUAGGUGAUGGAGAGGAAGGUGGGGAAGAGGAGGAGGCAAGAGGUUGAUGAGUGGAAGAAGAGGAAUGAUUAGGAAGAGAUUCAUCAACAGGAGGAACCCAGGCAGAAGGAGGAUUGACAGGAGGAAAAGAGGCAUGGGGAGAAGUCCCUAGGGAGGCAAAAUGGAAUAUAUCCUCAUGAAAAAUGACAUCCCUGGAUAUCAGGGUGAUCUUAGACUUCAAGUUAUACAGCUUGUAACCCCUUUUAGCCAAAGGGUAACCCAGGAAAACACAGGGAUCAACUCUAGGCUGGAAUUUAUCUCUAUUCUGUUUAGGGACAGAGGCAAAACAUGAGCAACCAAAUGUUUUAAGGUGUUUGUAGGAAGGAAUCUGGCCAAACAGCAAUUCAAAAGGGGAUUUGUUGUUGAGUAGAACAUAAGCAACCAAAUGUUUUAAGGUGUUUGUAGGAGGAAUCUGGCCAAACAGCAAUUCAAAAGGGGAUUUGUGUUGAGUAAUUUGGAAGGAAAUCUGUUAAUCAGGUAUGUGGCAGUAAGCACACAGUCACCCCAAAAUCUAAUGGGUAACUGAGAAUGAAAGAGCAGAGCUCUGGAGGUUUUUAGCAGAUAUCUAUGCUUUCUCUCAACAACACCAUUUUGUUGUGGUGUGUGAGAGCAAGAAGUUUGAUGCUGUAUGCCAUGUUCAGCAAAGAAGGUGAUGCCACAGCCACUAGAACCUAGUUCAAAUGCAUUAUCACUCCUAAUGGUUUGUACCACAGAUUGGAAUUGAGUUUUAACCAUGGCAAUGAAGGCUUUAAUGAGAGGAAAGGCAUUGCUCUUGGACCCCAUAAGAUGGGUCCAAGUAACUCUGGUAAAAUCAUCAACUAUUGUCAAAAAAUAUCUACAACCAUUAUGAGUAGAAGUGGCAUAGGGACCCCAUGUAUCAACAUGAAUCAGUUGAAAAGCAUGAGUUGUUUUAAUGGAGCUGUCAGGAAAGGGUAAUCUAGAUUGCCAUGCCAAAAGGCAUAUAGUACAGCGAAAAGGCUGCUUUGUGGAAAAACUACAUGGUAUAAAAGGCAUGUCUUUCAUUCUAAGAAAAGGUAUAUGCCCUAGUCUAUUGUGCCAUAACAUCUCUCAAGUAGCUCUGAUAAAAUCAUCAACUAUUGUCAAAAAAUAUCUACAACCAUUAUGAGUAGAAGUGGUAUAGGGACCCCAUGUAUCAACAUGAAUCAGUUGAAAAGCAUGAGUUGUUUUAAUGGAGCUGUCAGGAAAGGGUAAUCUAGAUUGCCAUGCCAAAAGGCAUAUAGUACAGCGAAAAGGCUGCUUUGUGGAAAAACUACAUGGUAUAAAAGGCAUGUCUUUGGUCUAGAUUGCCUGGCCAAAGGGCAUAUAGUACAGAGAAAAGGCUGCUUUGUGGAAAAAUUACAUGGUAUAGAAGGCAUGCCUUUCAUUCUAACAAAAGGUCUAUGCCCUAGUCUAUUAUGCCAUAACAUCUCCAUUUUAUUCAAUUCAGAAUGGUAUAUACAGUGAGAAGAAGAAACAGAACUAACAGGUAAAGGAGCAUGUUGAUUACAAGGAUCAAGAGUUUUAAGGGAAAAAGAUUGCACAAGUCUGUAGAGACCAUCAUCCAAUUUACCAAUCUCCAGUGGCCUCUUCAGAGAAGGGGCCUGUAUUAAACAAGAGAAUUUAGUAAAUAGAAUAAUAGAAUUCAACUGACAUACAAGUUUGGACACAAAAAUGAGAUUGUAGUGAAAACUGGAAAUGUAAAGGACAUAAUGAAGAGUGAAACAAAGGAAUUGGAUGGAACCAGUGCAUGUUACCUUAACCUUAUAGCCAUUGGGCAAGGUAACUAGAUAUGGUAUUACUAAAGGCUUAAUGUCAAACAGAAGUUCUUUAUUUGAUGUCAUGUGGUCGGUGGCACCAGAGUCUAUAAUCCAGAUGCAAUCACUUACUUUGGUUAGCAUGCAAGCCCCAUAGGAUACAUUCUUUAAAUGAGUAGUUGGAGAAAAAUUACCUGCAAAGUUAGCUGAGGCCAUAAGGCUGGACUGCUGCUUAGAUUCUGCAAUCUGUGUCUGUUGGAGCAGCAACAUAAGCUGGGAAUAUUGGUAUUUGGUUAAACCAGGUCUGAGAGACUCUGAAUCAGAAACCCCUUGGGAAUUGUCAGCAGUAUUCUGAGUUCCAGCAGGGUUUGUAUACCCAUGUACUUCAACAUGUGCUGCACUCCUCCUUCCUUUGGUCAAUUUGAAGUCUGAUGGAAAUCCUCUUGUGAAUUUGAAGUCAGGUGGAAAUCCAUGAAGUUUAUAGCAUUUUUCAAUCAGGUGUCCAGGUUUCUUACAAUACCUACACACUAAGUUUGCUCUGUUAGAAUCAGAAUUGAGUCUUGGGCUGAAUUGUUUAGGGUAACCAGCAGCUGUGGGAGGAAAUCUUGGAAUAGAUGGUUUGUUGCUGAAAUGAGUAUUGAAGGCACUCGAAUCAUGAUGAAAUUGAGAAGGCGAAGAGACUUGUCUUUGUCUCUCAUCUUGGAGUAAAAUAUUGUAUGCACAAUCUAGAGUUGGUGGAGGUUGUAGCAUAAGGAUAUUGCUUCUGAAUCCUACAUAGACAUCAUUGAGCCCCAUAAGAAACUGAUGUAAUUUGUUUUCAUCAUCCUCCCUUUGAAGCUCGGAUCUGGCAUUGCAUGUGCAAGUGUUCCCACGAGAAGCACGCAUGAAGCUCAGUUCAUCCUAUAGUUUCUUUAGCUUGUUGAAAUAAGAAGCUAUAUCCAGAGACCCCUGAUUAGUUGAUGCCAACUCCUGCUUAAUCUCAAAUAUCCUGGUGCCAUUCACAGUCCCAUAUCUACUAUUAAGUUGAUUCCAGAUGCUUUGAGCAGUGUCGGAAUACUGAACACUCUCGGCUAUCUCUGGAGCAAGGGAAUUAGUAAGCCAAGAGAUAACCACAUUGUAAUGUCGGAGUAUUGAACACUCUCGGCUAUCUCCGGCGCAAGGGAAUUAGUAAGUCAAGAGAUAACUAGAUUGUUGCAUCUAUCCCAUUGCCUAAACUGAGGAGAGUUUUCUGGAGGUUUGGGAAUCGUUCCGUCAAUGAACCUUAGUUUAUUCCUAGCAGAUAACGAGACGAUUAUAUUACGUCUCCAUCCCCCAAACCAACCCCUGAAAAGUGGUUGCUUACCAAAGAAAUACCCGGAACAUCAGAAGACACCAAAAACAGAGGGCUUGAGGGGUCAAGUACAAAGGUAUCAGUCCUAGACUCAUAUGUAUCACCGACAUUAACCAUUCUGACUAAGAAAGGAUUUUGGGCUCGAAAGUUGUAAGAUUAAGAAACCCUAAAUGCUGGUAUGUUAAAAAAAAAUCAUGAAGGAAAGGAUUUUGGGCUCGAAAGUUGUAAAAUUAAGAAACCCUAAAUGCUCGUAUGUUAAAAAAAUCAGGAAUUGAUUGACUGACAAGAAAAUGAGACUCAGAAAACUCAAAAAUUGAGGAAUCACCGAAGGAUUUCCAGAGAAAAAACAGAGAAAAAGAGAAAAAGAGAAAAAACCUAGAUUCGUCGGAGAAGACAGAAGUUUUGACGGAAAGCGGUGAGAAUAACAUCGCCAUGGAGUCCGUGACAACCGGAAUCAUAAUCCCCGCUCUGAUACCAUGUCAAAAUUACUGAUCUCCAUGGAUGAACCAUAAUGUUUGCAGAUGAUGAAGAAGAAAGAGAGAAAAACUUAGAGAGUUUUCUUAUUUAUGUUCCGUGAAUAUUACCACUGUAUAGAAGCUUUCUGAACCUCUCAUAUACAUCAGUGUAUAUACAGAAAAAUAUCUACUCUAUAUUGGGCCAUUGGGCCAAGAAUAAAUAAUGGACUAAUUACAAGUUGGGCUUGGGCAGCUGCUUCUGUGUUUGGGCUGCUUGAGUGGCCCAGUAACUUCAGUAACU